UUGUUCUCGGUGAUUGGGCAUAGUGAUGUUGAUGCAUCGCCUGAUCUCAUUCUCACAGAGGAUACCAAUGGGGUGAAUGCCGGUACUCAACCUAUUGAUGCACAUGGACAUGAUGACUCUCCAGCGUUUAUGGACCAACCAACCUGUAAUCAUGGACCUUAUUGUCUUGUAGACCAUUUGGUGUUUCGAGUGUUUUGGAGCUUGCACUUUGUGCAUGUAGAUACAAACUUGUGUGUUCUGGACCAUCUGAAGUCUCUCAUAGUAACCAAUAGUCCUUAUCUUUU